CGCAGCCGCGGUAAUUCCAGCUCCAAUAGCGUAUAUUAAAGUUGUUGCAGUUAAAAAGCUCGUAGUUGAAUUUCGGGGUCGGUAGGCUGGUCAUGCCACAGGUAUGUACUGGUCUCACUGAUUCCUCCUUCCUGAUGAACCGUAAUGCCAUUAAUUUGGUGUUGCGGGGAAACUGGACUGUUACUUUGAAAAAAUUAGAGUGUUUAAAGCAGGCUAACGCUUGAAUACAUUAGCAUGGAAUAAUGAAAUAGGACGUUCGAUCCUAUUUUGUUGGUUUCUUAGGAUUGACGUAAUGAUUAAUAGGGAUAGUUGGGGGCAUUAGUAUUCAAUUGUCAGAGGUGAAAUUCUUGGAUUUAUUGAAGACUAACUACUGCGAAAGCAUUUGCCAAGGAUGUUUUCAUUAAUCAAGAACGAAAGUUAGGGGAUCGAAGACGAUCAGAUACCGUCGUAGUCUUAACCAUAACUAUGCCGACUAGGGAUCGGAUGAUGUUAAUUUUUUAAUUGUACUCAUUCGGCGCCU
rnacentral:rRNA from 1 species